rnacentral:misc_RNA from 1 species
UGUGGGAGCUGGCUUGCCUGCGAUGCAGACACCUCGGUACAUCAGUUAAACCGAGGCGAUGCCAUCGCAGGCAUGCCAGCUCCCACC